rnacentral:rRNA from 15 species
AAGAACGCAGCUAGCUGCGAGAACUAAUGUGAAUUGCAGGACACAUUGAUCAUCGACACUUCGAACGCACCUUGCGGCCCCGGGUUCCUCCCGGGGCUACGCCUGUCUGAGGGUCG